UGCCAAGUAAAUUGAAAUUCA
rnacentral:piRNA from 1 species